GAUGGCGGCAGCAGCGGGGAGGAGCAGCAGCAGGGCAAGGCGGCGACGAGUGGGCGCCCGCCCUCCCCGUCUGCGAGCUGGUCCUCGGGCACGGCGGCGGCUCCCGAGCCCUCCUGCUCCGACCACGCGGAGUGCUCGAGUCUGGAGGGGCAGCAGACGGUGGUGGGCGCUUGCGCCGCCGCCAUCUCCUUCGUCCUUCCCGCCCGACCCCCGACGCUCACGUCCCCGGGCGUCGUCGCCGUCGUCCACAACCACCGCCACCGCGCCCCCACCCUCUCCCCAUCGCUGCAGGGCCCCACCUUCUCCCAAUCCCCUCACCCUUCUCUCCCGUGGCCAGUGGAUUCGCCCCUCACGGGAUCGAUUCUUGUGUUUGUAUUUGUUGGAUUGCUUGCUUAUGUCUAAUGAAGAGAGUAUAUGUCCUGCCGUUAUUUUGAUUUAGUUCCUUAGGUUAAUAUAAUUUUAUUGUGGUUUUUUUACAGAUGUUUCAGUUUACCUAGGGAUAAAAAGUGCAAUAUAAAGGUUCAUUAAACAAACUGAACUUAUAUAUGAUCAUUUAGGUGCUGAAUUUGUCUAUCUGAACUUUAUUGGUACUGAAAUUAUCUCAUAUGAAGUAAGUGAUUCAUUUCCCCUCGAGUGGAUAAACAUAUAGUGGAAGAAGGGCUUCUAUGUCGUACCCAUGCCUUCAUAUUUAGUUCCAUGCUAAAGGAUCACUAAAUCUCGGCUCCUCCAUUGUUUUUCUUAUCAAACUAGAGGGCUUCAUAAAUAUUGUAUAUAUGUCUUACCAAGACAUUUUCUAAGUAACAUAGUGAGGCAUGCAUUUGAUCCUUGGGGAGAAGCUAACCUGAAUUGCAUAUUGGUUAUGUGAGAAGUGCCCUCUCUCCCUCUCUCACGGUGUGUUUCUUCCUCCUUUGUGUGUUUUCUUAAAUAGGGGGAGGGGGCGUCGAUAUGCCAAGCAGGAAGAAAGCUGGAUCCGGAUGCAAGGGGCAGGCGGACAGACAAUAAGGUGCGUGCCGACUACACAACUGCGGGGGAGGGGUUGUCGAUAUGCCAAGCAGGAAGAAAGCUGGAUCCGGAUGCAAGGGGCAGGCGGACAGACAAUAAGGUGUGUGCCGACUACACAACUGCAGUAUACAACUGCCAACCUUUUUUGUUUUAGUGAGAUAUUUUUUUGUGAUGUUUCCUCUAGACACAAACCAUAAUUGUUUCGAAUAUAACUACCAUUUUUUAUUUCUUGGGAGUGUAUUUCUGUGCAAGGGGGGAUUUAAUUUGAUAGUCCAUGUCAGCAGUUGCCAUGUUUUUUAACUGUUUUGACCAUAUUAACCAUUGAGUGGUUGUCAGAUUAAUCAUACCUUGUUGUCAUGUGUUUUUUCGUAUGACCUUGCCAUGUUUAUAAACCCGUAGUUGCUUGGCAUUUGGAAUUGGGAAUUUUGGUCACUUCUAUAGAUCCUGGUAGGACCUACCAUUUUGGUCACUUUUAUAGAUCCUAGUUGUGCUCAAAUUUACACGGGGUGGCUAUUUCUCUUCUAUACAUUGUUGUCUCCUUAGGAAAUUGAAAAGCUUCUCUUGGUCACCCCAUAUUCAGCAGCUCAAAAACACAUGUUGGUAGCAUGCUUGGCGCAAUGCAAAAAUCAGUGUUGUGUGAAAUAUUCAGUCUGUAUUUCUGCUAAUGGAGUUUUAGGAUAGUUCUGAGUUUUGUAAUCCUAGAGAUUGUUCUUCAUUCUUCUUGCAGGUGUAAUUUAUAUUGUAUGAUGCAUUGUCAAAGAGUACCGUUGUGAUAAUUUAACUGAAAAUAUGAGUUUAUAAGCUCAAAUUGUUCCGGUUCAGUUUAUAAGAAUUAUUUAGGAUCUCUGCUACUGCGAUUUUCAUGAUCCAAUUAUAGUUUAUAAGCUCAAACUGUUCCUGUUCCUGAUCCAAAUUGUGCUGGAGUACUCUCUGCCUCUUGAGUGCAGGAAAAUGCCUCAAUUAAUUAGUUUGUCGCUCCGUUAGUCGCCAUGGUCAGAUGAUGCUUCAGGUUUGCACUUCACAUUGAGGUAUAGAAGAGCACUGGUAGCAACCACAUCAUGAAAGGGUCGACGAACGACGAUCCGAUAUGCGUUGCCGAGAGUGAAGCUCAUGGGUUGGCUCCCUCUUCCCCAUCGGACCUGGCAGGAGGAUGAGCGCCCUUCCCCGCGACCUGCCGCACACCCCCUGUCGCCGUGCCACCGCCGUCGCCCUGACCCCCAUCCUCGACCUCACGCUGCCCAGCGUCUCCUCCCUACCCCCUUGGCACUCGGUAGGAGGAGUGCAGGAAGCUCGUGGGUCACCUCCCUCCUCCUCUGUAUGCUUGGGCUCACGCAGACACACUAUGUAACAGCCUAACAGAGUUGUUACUGGUGGAAUGAAUGAUUUGGUUUAGUAUGGUGGUGCACAGAAUUGUUGAUAUUGGAGUCAGUUACCUUUACAUGCUUAAACACUCUGUUAAUUGUCUGCAGUACAGAAUUUGCAUGUUGUUGCAACAAAUGGUUUGGUUUAGAGUUUUCAUAUAGUGUGAAGAAGAUCAAUAGUAAGUGGAAUGGAUCAGUCUGUUAAGUUUUAUCCAAUGUUGUUCUUGGCCUAAACGAUUUGGUCCAGUCCUGUAAGAGAGCAAUAGCAUCCGGAUCCAAAGUAAUUA